UACGUAGGGUGCGAGCGUUAAUCGGAAUUACUGGGCGUAAAGCGUGCGCAGGCGGCGCGUUAAGACAGGUGUGAAAGCCCCGAGCUUAACUUGGGAAUUGCGCUUGUGACUGGCGAGCUGGAGUGUGGCAGAGGGAGGUGGAAUUCCACGUGUAGCAGUGAAAUGCGUAGAGAUGUGGAGGAACACCGAUGGCGAAGGCGACAUCCUGGACCGGUAUUGACGCUGAGGCGCGAAAGCCAGGGGAGCAAACGGG
rnacentral:rRNA from 1 species